GAAAAUAGGGCAGAGAUAAAAUAGAAUGAGGAAUGUGAAAAAGAAUGUCUGCAGUUCAGAUAGAAUGUGGCAACUUCUCUGUGGAACAUUUAGUACAGAACAUGUGGCAGUUGUUGAAAUUGUCACAUGAAUGCCUUAUUGUGACUUUUGUGUUCACUCGUGUAAACUUAUUUGUUUUUGUGUAUCAUUAUGCUUGUGUGAGUUUGUGUGUGCGUGGGAAGGGGGUUUGCAGAUUAUACAAGUUGCGCUGUGUUUGGCAGGUGUCCAUUAUUUACUCUGCAGUAUAUGUCUGACAGAUCCUAAGAACAUGCUGUCCUGGGAAAGCAGUUUUUUUUUCACACACAUCUCUCUCACUCUUCCUUUCAUUCUCUGCAUUUGAGAUGAGCAGGGAGCUGAAUCAAGUCUUUGUUCUUAGCCUAAGACACUGAAGAGGAUUAUCUAUAUGAAGGAGGAUGGAUCAUGGGGGUCUGUUGUGUUGAUGUCGCAUCACCCACCGAAUGCUGCGCUUUACUCUUGUAGCCCCUAAAAUAAAAUAAAACUCUUUUCCUCAAAUGCAUACAACAGCAAAACAAGAUGAUUAUAAUAUGUUCAGUUUCAAGGUCAUCCAAGCCCCUAUAAAGUCCCUAUAAAAGCCCUAUAAAGUGUCUGCUCUGGAACUACAUUCUCCAGACAAACCAAAAUCAUUCACUCCUGCAGGAAAUAUAACAAUAAGGUGCUUACUGGUUAUAAAUGUACAGGUAUAUGUUUCAGGUAAUAACUGCAGUUUAUUUUAGCUAAUGGUCUGCACCUAUUUGCAGUUUGAUUUACAAUGUAAUGAUACAUUAUGUAAUGUACAGGAGAACUGUAUGUAAAAGGAUUUGUGCUCUAAAAGGAACGGCAAAAUGUCUUAAAGAAAAAUACUUGCUUAGCUGUACCCUGCCUAUAAGGUGUUGUAAUCCUGAUGAGGUUAUGUAAGAUGUAGUCAUUCAGGUAUGUCCUAGACCUUCUCAACCUGAAUAAUAGUGUUACCAGCAUUAAAACAAAACAAGACUUUUUGAAGUCAACAUAAAUGAUUUUUUUCUGACUCACUUAUUGUGUCACAUAUGAAUAGAUGCACUUUUUUCAAAGCACUAGGAAUAAACGUUGUGUGUGUAAAGCAGGUGGUUUGGUGUUGAGAGGGGUGGUUUUAGUUUGGAAUGUCUUGCCUGUUGGUUCUUCUUUCCCAUUCAGGUCCUUCAAGAAGAAACAAGAUUUGCAUAACUGUCAUGUUCAGCAAUAUGUAAAUGAGAUGUUUUCAAUAAAAUGGUUCUUCUCUU